GACGAACGCUGGCGGCGUGCUUAACACAUGCAAGUCGAGCGAGGCGGCCCGCAAGGGCCAGUCGAGCGGCGAACGGGUGAGUAACGCGUGGAUUAUCUGCCCUGAGGUGGGGGAUAACCCGGGGAAACUCGGGCUAAUACCGCAUAGGACCGUGAGGUCGAAAGGGGGGUCGCAAGAUCUCUCGCCAUUGGAGGAGUCCGCGUUCGAUUAGCUAGUUGGUAGGGUAAUGGCCUACCAAGGCGACGAUCGAUAGCCGGCCUGAGAGGGUGAUCGGCCACACUGGAACUGAGACACGGUCCAGACUCC
rnacentral:rRNA from 1 species